GGCAUCCAAACAAAGAAGGGCUCAUCGAGAUCAGUUAGGGAGUUUCAGAUGCAUUGCAAAUGCACAUAAUUCAGCAUUUUUAAAGCUAAAAGGGGAAAGGGGUUGCACAAGGAAGUUGAUAAGCCUAAUAGCCGCUGUAGCUAUCAAGAUUUGAAGGAAAAGCAAGCAAAGUAUAUGAACUACCUAUGGCAUGGUCCACCACAUGACCGAACAGUUAGCUGCUCUUUUGCUGACAAGCUGUUAUAGUAUAUGCACUCAAAUACAUGAACCAUGGAACCGCAGUGACAUGAACGUUUUAUCAGUGCUUUGCAAGGGGGACAUUCUCCAGGAUGACAAGACAAG